rnacentral:rRNA from 1 species
UGGCUCAGAUUGAACGCUGGCGGCAUGCCUUACACAUGCAAGUCGAACGGCAGCACGGGAGCAAUCCUGGUGGCGAGUGGCGAACGGGUGAGUAAUGUAUCGGAACGUACCUUUCAGUGGGGGAUAACGUAGCGAAAGUUACGCUAAUACCGCAUAUUCUGUGAGCAGGAAAGCAGGGGAUCGCAAGACCUUGCGCUGAUUGAGCGGCCGAUAUCAGAUUAGCUAGUUGGUGAGGUAAAGGCUCACCAAGGCGACGAUCUGUAGCGGGUCUGAGAGGAUGAUCCGCCACACUGGAACUGAGACACGGUCCAGACUCCUACGGGAGGCAGCAGUGGGGAAUUUUGGACAAUGGGGGCAACCCUGAUCCAGCCAUGCCGCGUGAGUGAAGAAGGCCUUCGGGUUGUAAAGCUCUUUCAGCCGGGAAGAAAUCACAUGGGUUAAUACCCUGUGUGGAUGACGGUACCGGAAUAAGAAGCACCGGCUAACUACGUGCCAGCAGCCGCGGUAAUACGUAGGGUGCGAGCGUUAAUCGGAAUUACUGGGCGUAAAGCGUGCGCAGGCGGUUUGUUAAGAUAGGCGUGAAAUCCCCGGGCUCAACCUGGGAACUGCGUUUAUGACUGGCAGGCUAGAGUAUGGCAGA